rnacentral:rRNA from 1 species
AACGAACGCUGGCGGCAUGCCUAACACAUGCAAGUCGAACGAGACCUUCGGGUCUAGUGGCGCACGGGUGCGUAACGCGUGGGAACCUGCCCUUAGGUUCGGAAUAACUCCCCGAAAGGGGUGCUAAUACCGGAUAAUGUCUUCGGACCAAAGAUUUAUCGCCUUUGGAUGGGCCCGCGUUGGAUUAGCUAGUUGGUAGGGUAAAAGCCUACCAAGGCGACGAUCCAUAGCUGGUCUGAGAGGAUGAUCAGCCAAACUGGGACUGAGACACGGCCCAGACUCGUACGGGAGGCAGCAGUGGGGAAUAUUGGACAAUGGGCGAAAGCCUGAUCCAGCAAUGCCGCGUGAGUGAUGAAGGCCUUAGGGUUGUAAAGCUCUUUUACCCGGGAUGAUAAUGACAGUACCGGGAGAAUAAGCUCCGGCUAACUCCGUG